AACGAACGCUGGCGGCAUGCCUAACACAUGCAAGUCGAACGAGACCUUCAGGUCUAGUGGCGCACGGGUGCGUAACGCGUGGGAACCUGCCCUUAGGUUCGGAAUAACUCCCCGAAAGGGGUGCUAAUACCGGAUAAUGUCUUCGGACCAAAGAUUUAUCGCCUUUGGAUGGGCCCGCGUUGGACUAGCUAGUUGGUAGGGUAAAAGCCUACCAAGGCGACGAUCCAUAGCUGGUCUGAGAGGAUGAUCAGCCACACUGGGACUGAGACACGGCCCAGACUCCUACGGGAGGCAGCAGUGGGGAAUAUUGGACAAUGGGCGAAAGCCUGAUCCAGCAAUGCCGCGUGAGUGAUGAAGGCCUUAGGGUUGUAAAGCUCUUUUACCCGGGAUGAUAAUGACAGUACCGGGAGAAUAAGCUCCGGCUAACUCCGUG
rnacentral:rRNA from 1 species